AUGCAAGUCGAGCGAACAGAUAAGGAGCUUGCUCCUUUGAAGUUAGCGGCGGACGGGUGAGUAACACGUGGGUAACCUACCUAUAAGACUGGAAUAACUUCGGGAAACCGGAGCUAAUGCCGGAUAACAUAUAGAACCGCAUGGUUCUAUAGUGAAAGAUGGUUUUGCUAUCACUUAUAGAUGGACCCGCGCCGUAUUAGCUAGUUGGUAAGGUAAAGGCUUACCAAGGCGACGAUACGUAGCCGACCUGAGAGGGUGAUCGGCCACACUGGAACUGAGACACGGUCCAGACUCCUACGGGAGGCAGCAGUAGGGAAUCUUCCGCAAUGGGCGAAAGCCUGACGGAGCAACGCCGCGUGAGUGAUGAAGGUUUUCGGAUCGUAAAACUCUGUUAUUAGGGAAGAACAAAUGCGUAAGUAACUGUGCGCAUCUUGACGGUACCUAAUCAGAA
rnacentral:rRNA from 1 species